GAUGAACGCUGGCGGCGUGCCUAAUACAUGCAAGUCGAGCGAAUGGAUUAAGAGCUUGCUCUUAUGAAGUUAGCGGCGGACGGGUGAGUAACACGUGGGUAACCUGCCCAUAAGACUGGGAUAACUCCGGGAAACCGGGGCUAAUACCGGAUAAUAUUUUGAACUGCAUGGUUCAAAAUUGAAAGGCGGCUUCGGCUGUCACUUAUGGAUGGACCCGCGUCGCAUUAGCUAGUUGGUGAGGUAACGGCUCACCAAGGCAACGAUGCGUAGCCGACCUGAGAGGGUGAUCGGGCACACUGGGACUGAGACACGGCCCAGACUCCUACGGGAGGCAGCAGUAGGGAAUCUUCCGCAAUGGACGAAAGUCUGACGGAGCAACGCCGCGUGAGUGAUGAAGGCUUUCGGGUCGUAAAACUCUGUUGUUAGGGAAGAACAAGUGCUAGUUGAAUAAGCUGGCAUCUUGACGGUACCUAACCAGAAAGCCACGGCUAACUACGUGCCAGCAGCCGCCGUAA
rnacentral:rRNA from 1 species